AUUGAACGCUGGCGGCAGGCCUAACACAUGCAAGUCGAGCGAGCGGCGGACGGGUGAGUAAUGUAUGGGGAUCUGCCUGAUGGAGGGGGAUAACUACUGGAAACGGUAGCUAAUACCGCAUACCAUCAGAUGAACCCAUAUGGGAUUAGCUUGUUGGUGGGGUAACGGCUCCCCAAGGCGACGAUCCCUAGCUGGUCUGCGAGGAUGCUCAGCCACACGGGAACUGAGAAACGGCCCAGACUCCUACGGGAGGCAGCAGUGGGGAAUAUUGCACAAUGGGCGCAAGCCUGAUGCAGCCAUGCCGCGGGUAUGAAGAAGGCCUUCGGGUGGUAAAGUACUUUCAGCGGGGAGGCGUUACCGACAGAAGAAGCACCGGCUAACUCCGUGCCAGCAGCCGCGGUAAUAC
rnacentral:rRNA from 1 species